AGUGGCGAACGACAAGGUGGACUUCAUCGACGUGUCGUCGGAGAGCGACAAGAUCCUCGGCGCGGAGCUCUGCAACGGAGUGCCGCUUCUGUUCAGCAAGAAGCAUGGCGUGUUGGCGCUCACCACCACCGACAGCCUCGCGCCUACUCCAUCAUUAUGCGACAGCCCCAUGGGUUCACCAUGUCCUAGUGAUAUGUACGAAGGCAAUUUAUCGCUGUACGAGAUCGACCCACAUGAAGUGAGUGCGGUGACAACCGACGCGUGCGGCAAGAUGAAGACAGCGUUCCUGUUCCACCUGCGGCGCGACUCCGCCUCGUGCCGCGCGCUGCUGGACGCGCUGUUCCCGCCGGCGGCGCACGCGCACGCGGCGCCCGCGCCCGCGCCCGCGCU